UACAGAGGUCCCAAGCGUUGUUCGGAUUCAUUGGGCGUAAAGGGUGCGUAGGCGGCGCGGUAAGUCGGGUGUGAAAUCUCGGAGCUUAACUCCGAAACUGCAUUCGAUACUGCCGUGCUUGAGGACUGGAGAGGAGACUGGAAUUUACGGCGUAGCGGUGAAAUGCGUAGAUAUCGUAAGGAAGACCAGUGGCGAAGGCGGGUCUCUGGACAGUUCCUGACGCUGAGGCACGAAGGCCAGGGGAGCAAACGGG
rnacentral:rRNA from 1 species